rnacentral:rRNA from 1 species
AACGCGAAGAACCUUACCUGGGCUUGAACUACUCGUGGUAGAUCGAUGGAAACAUUGGUCGACCCGCAAGGGAGCGAGCAGAGGUGCUGCAUGGUUGUCGUCAGCUCGUGUCGUGAGAUGUUGGGUUAAGUCCCGCAACGAGCGCAACCCCUAUUCGAUGUUGCUAAUCCCGCAAGGGAUGCACUCUUCGAAAACUGCCUUCGAUAAGAAGGAGGAAGGUGGGGACGACGUCAAAUCCUCAUGGCCCUUAUGUCCAGGGCUACACACGUGCUACAAUGGCCGGUACAACGGGAAGCAAUACCGCAAGGUGGAGCCAAACCCUGAAAGCCGGCCCCAGUUCAGAUUGUGGGCUGCAACUCGCCCACAUGAAGGCGGAAUCGCUAGUAAUCGCUGAUCAGCAGGCAGCGGUGAAUACGUUCCCGGGCCUUGUACACACCGGAGUGC